UCAGGUCGAGCUCAGGGAGCAGUUCAUUGUUAAUGAAAAGGGUAUGACUUGAU
rnacentral:tRNA from 1 species